CUUUUCUUUCAUUUUCUUCAAAUUGUUGACCGUUCAUACGACCCCUGCAAUUGCAUUGCAGCUUAUGUGGGGGUUAUAUAACGGUCAACAGAGACCCUUGACAUCAAAAA
rnacentral:pre_miRNA from 2 species